rnacentral:rRNA from 1 species
GCGGUCUCGCCGCAGCCUCUCCUGCGCAGUAGUUUGCACACUCGCACCGGGAGCGCGGCGCGUCCACAGCCGUUAAACACCCCAAACUUCUGGAAUGUUGACCUCGGAUCAGGUAGGAAUACCCGCUGAACUUAAGCAUAUCAAUAAGCGGAGGAAAAGAAACCAACAGGGAUUGCCCCAGUAACGGCGAGUGAAGCGGCAACAGCUCAAAUUUGAAAUCUGGCCCCUCGGGGUCCGAGUUGUAAUUUGUAGAGGAUGCUUUUGGUGAGGUGCCGCCCGAGUUCCCUGGAACGGGACGCCACAGAGGGUGAGAGCCCCGUCUGGCUGGCCACCGAGCCUCUGUAAAGCUCCUUCGACGAGUCGAGUAGUUUGGGAAUGCUGCUCAAAAUGGGAGGUAUAUGUCUUCUAAAGCUAAAUAUUGGCCAGAGACCGAUAGCGCACAAGUAGAGUGAUCGAAAGAUGAAAAGCACCUUGAAAAGAGGGUUAAAUAGUACGUGAAAUUGUUGAAAGGGAAGCGCUUGUGACCAGACUUGGGCGCGGCGGAUCAUCCGGGGUUCUCUCCGGUGCACUUCGACGCGCCUGGGCCAGCAUCAGUUCGCCGCGGGGGAAAAAGGCUUCGGGAACGUGGCUCCCCCGGGAGUGUUAUAGCCCGUCGCACAAUACCCUGCGGUGGACUGAGGACCGCGCAUCUGCAAGGAUGCUGGCGUAAUGGUCACCAGCGACCCGUCUUGAAACACGGACCAAGGAGUCGUCUUCGUAUGCGAGUGUUCGGGUGUCAAACCCCUACGCGUAAUGAAAGUGAACGCAGGUGAGAGCUUCGGCGCAUCAUCGACCGAUCCUGAUGUUCUCGGAUGGAUUUGAGUAAGAGCAUACGGGGCCGGACCCGAAAGAAGGUGAACUAUGCCUGUAUAGGGUGAAGCCAGAGGAAACUCUGGUGGAGGCUCGCAGCGGUUCUGACGUGCAAAUCGAUCGUCAAAUAUGGGCAUGGGGGCGAAAGACUAAUCGAACCUUCUAGUAGCUGGUUUCCGCGA